rnacentral:lncRNA from 1 species
AGGAUUUAGCUUCAUAGUACUUUCUUGGGGUAGAAUCUCCUAUGAAUCUAGCCAGAGGAGCGCUCAUCCUUUGGAAGGCAUACAACAUAAGGUAUCAGCCGAGCUUUCAUGAUGUACUAAAGUCCUUUUUUUAAAACCUUGCAAUGAUGAGGGAAAUAGCUACAGCGUCGUCAUAAAGAGGGCUCAACACCCUUUUGGUCUUCAUCAGAAAAGGAGAUGUGACUUUCACAGUGCACGGAUGCUUUGAGGAAGCUCUUUUUUCCGAGCUCGGAGCUUCUGGUGCCUCUAGUUGCCCGCCCUCUGAUGGUAUUGAUGAUGCCCGUGAGAGGUCAGUGGUCAUUCUGCUCCCUAUGGGGCAUUGGAUUUUGUUCCUCGGGCUCUCUCCUGUAGGCAUGAUCACGGACAAAAUAACUCAACCGACCUCGGCGGACAAGUGCCUCGAUCUCAUCACGAAGCUCGUAGCAAUCCUCCGUAUCAUGGCCGCGAUCUCGGUGGAAGCGGCAGUACUUUUUCGAGUGCUUCCGCGACUCUGUCGGACGCAUUCUCAAUGGAGGUCGGAGGUAGCCCCGACCCUCAAUCUCCAUGAGGAUUUCUGCUCGGGUGGAUAUGAGAGGAGUGUACGUCUGAAAUUUUUGGAGGGGAGACCCCGGGC